GGAAUUACAGGUCUCCGU
rnacentral:rRNA from 1 species